AGGUAAGCUACUAAGAGCGAAUGGUGGAUGCCUUGACUGGUAAAGGCGAUGAAGGACGUACUAGACUGCGAUAAGCUACGGGGAGCUGUCAAGAAGCUUUGAUCCGUAGAUUUCCGAAUGGGGCAACCCAAUGUAUAGAGAUAUACAUUACCUAUAUAGGAGCGAACGAGGGGAAUUGAAACAUCUUAGUACCCUCAGGAAAAGAAAUCAAUAGAGAUUGCGUCAGUAGCGGCGAGCGAAAGCGCAAGAGGGCAAACCCAGUGCUUGCACUGGGGGUUGUAGGACUGCAAUGUGCAAGAGCUGAGUUUAGCAGAACAUUCUGGAAAGUAUAGCCAUAGAGGGUGAUAGUCCCGUAUGCGAAAAACAAAGUUUAGCUAGCAGUAUCCUGAGUAGGGCGGGACACGAGGAAUCCUGUCUGAAUCCGGGUCGACCACGAUCCAACCCUAAAUACUAAUACCAGAUCGAUAGUGCACAAGUACCGUGAGGGAAAGGUGAAAAGAACUGAGGUGAUCAGAGUGAAAUAGAACCUGAAACCAUUUGCUUACAAUCAUUCAGAGCACUAUGUAGCAAUACAGUGUGAUGGACUGCCUUU
rnacentral:rRNA from 1 species